rnacentral:tRNA from 1 species
CAGGACCGUCUGCUAUCCGGACUCCUCCGGGUCGUCUUGAUGGACAGUGGGGUCUUGGGUCAGCCUGAGCGCUAGAACCACCUGCCUCGGGAAGACCCAUGGGGAAGUGCAGCUGCCCCCUUGGCUCUUGCCUGGCUCUCUGUGCCCAGAACACAAAGGGGAAGCCUUCUUUCCUGUGGUGGGAGGAUGAGUGGACCAGGCUUUGGAACCGGCACCGUUUCUCUGCGGAGCAGGAGGCACGUCCUGGGAAUUCUUGUCUCCAGCACAAAGAGUCGAGGGGGCCCGGUGUGGUCCUGUCUCUGUGGCGCAAUCGGUUAGCGCGUUCGGCUGUUAACCGGAAGGUUGGUGGUUCGAGCCCACCCAGGGACGGGCGGUCGAGGUUUUAGAACCCAUUCGAGGUUUUCCGUGCCGACGACCAUUCAAGCGGUUCUUGGCCCACACAAAAAUAUGCUCUCCUGCAUUCGGGGUCCGGACUGCUGCCAGUCUGGGCCACCUCACCUUUCCCACCCUGUACUCUGCAAGUGCAAGUGUAUUCCUAUUCACUCAUACUUGCCUAAGGCAGGACCUCCUGAGACAGAUCAAGGGAUCCAGUUUCUGGUGGGGUCAAGUCUUUAUUCUGCCAAGUACAUAGACUUAGACAAGUAAGUUAUACCUUAUGUGCCCCAGGUUUUUCACCUGUAAAAGGAGGCCAGCACUUAGCAAUUGUUCUGUCAAUAAUGUUAUCAGUGAACCCACCGUCAUCAUUAGCCUCUGCAUUAUUUUUCAGAAAGGCAUUUCCUACAUGGUUCAUGUAUUAUUUGGUUUCAUGGUUUUAUGAUGACAGAUAUGCUGCAACCAUCAUUAUUGUACUCACACUUCUGACCAUUCGUGCAGGUAUUUAUUUCCACAGUGUAGAAACCUGGAAGUGCAGUCGCUUCCUUGAGUGUUUAUAUGCUUCUUAAGUUGGUAAGUCCUGCAACUUUGCCUUCCACAGAAGCGGGACUGAGUCGUAUUUCAAAUUAUUUCCCAGUCGUUCGGUGUCCCUUUCUUCAAUUACUUUGGCAACACAACAAUUUUUCUAUACAUCUCUCUAUGAUUCUCUUAACUAACAAAGGGAGCAGUGGCCUCCUGACCCAACUAAGGGGAAAGACAAUAGAGGGACGCUGUGGCAUUACACAGAGGUGCUCUACUGCUUAUGGUGGAGAGUUAGUCACUGACCACUUUUAAAGUCCUCCAGUAACUGUCCAUUGUUUUGUCCGGUGACCUGGUCAACCGGGUCCAGAGAAGAUGGCCAGGAUGGCCUCUUUCUGCCGAGCAACUUAUCCAAAGAGAAGACUCUCACUGAUCCCAGAGCCUUUUUCCUUCUCCCCUUUCUUCUUUUAUUUACAAACUUUGGUUACACUUUUAACGUGAGGAAAGAAAAUUCGGUGCCUGUCCCUCCUCCUAUAAAGUGGGGUGUUACCACGGAACACCCCAUUUACUUUAUUCCUUGACAGUUUUUUGGUUUGGUUAUUUUUUGGAAGAGUCGGACACGACCGAGCGACUGAACGGGAACUGAUAAAAGUUAGCCCAUCACAUGGGCUAACUCACAUGUCGUGAGAGCCCGCGGAAUCCUGCCCCUCGCAGGCUCCUGCUUCAGGCCCGGACCCUUAGAGCCAUUGGCUCCUGUUUGCGCUGUUCUUCUAUUAAAUCUUAUGUGCAGAGACUGUGCGUUUUGACGUUUUUGUACCGUGUGGUUUGGGGACAAAUAUGUUCUCUCUCUGAUUUGUUCAUCACUGAUAAGAUGGCGCUCGCUAGUGGCGAAGAACCUGCCUGCCAUUGCGGAAGAUGUUAAGUUACAUGGUGUUCGAUCCCUGGGUCAGGAAGACCCCCUGGAGUAGGGCACGGCAACGCACUCCAGUAUUCUUGCCUGGAGAAUCCCAUCUGACAGAGGAGCCUGGCAGGAUACCGUCCAUAGGGUUGCACAGGGUCUGGACACGACUGAAGCGAUUCAGCGCGCAUACCCGCAAUUUCUCCUAUCAAUGUGGGAAUCUGGUCUCAUUUUAGGAAGUGAACCUCUGGGGAUAAUCCACAUUGAGUGGUGGUUGACAGGGGUCCGUUCCCUGUGAGGUAGAAGACAGUUACACUGGACCAUGAGGCUUUUUUCAUUGCUGCUUGUCUUGAUGAUUCUGGUAUUUCCUGGGAUGUGGCACGGCCCCAGUGAGAAGUUGUCCACUUCUCCUCUUUCCACUGUUUGGUCAAAUCCAGGUGGGCCCAGUCUAUCCUAGUCAAGCACUGCACAAGUGUCGUAAGAGAUUAACACAGGAAGGAUACUGAAUUUUUAGCAUGGAACAGACAGUUUCUUUCACUGGUAUAUGAAAGUUUCUAAAUAGCUGAAAAUAGUCAACAAGUGAGGUAAGGAUUGUUGAAAUCAGACUACAGAAUGCAGAGGAAAAGACAUAUCUUUGCAAAGAAGCAAUGAAGUCAGCAACGUGAACACUUCUGACAACCCUGCAAAUCAAGAUUGAAUACUUCCAGAACCAUAAGCAAGUUCAGCCCUCAAGAAAAAGGAAUGACUAGCCAUGACUUCAAGCACAGUUUUAUACACUGGGGACUCAUAAGUGUAUUACAGAAUUCCUAUUUUCCUCAGUGAGAUUCCUCCAAUAUCGCUUAAUUGUAUUUCAUUUUGUUUCUCACACUGGCAAGUGUUGUUAAUAAACAUCAUUGACUCUGCUUUCA